GACGAACGCUGGCGGCGUGCUUAACACAUGCAAGUCGAACGGAAAGGCCUCUUUCGGGGGGUACUCGAGUGGCGAACGGGUGAGUAACACGUGAGUAACCUGCCCUUGACUUUGGGAUAACUUCAGGAAACUGGGGCUAAUACCGGAUAGGAGCUCCUGCUGCAUGGUGGGGGUUGGAAAGUUUCGGCGGUUGGGGAUGGACUCGCGGCUUAUCAGCUUGUUGGUGGGGUAGUGGCUUACCAAGGCUUUGACGGGUAGCCGGCCUGAGAGGGUGACCGGCCACAUUGGGACUGAGAUACGGCCCAGACUCCUACGGGAGGCAGCAGUGGGGAAUAUUGCACAAUGGGUGGAAGCCUGAUGCAGCAACGCCGUGUGCGGGAUGACGGCCUUCGGGUUGUAAACCGCUUUCGCCUAUGACGAAGCUUGGGGGAAGGGAAGGGGUAAAAAAACCCCGGCUAAAUAAGGG
rnacentral:rRNA from 1 species